GCCGGGGUGGCGGAAUCGGCAGACGCAGCGGACUUAAAAUCCGCCGGAGCAAUCCUUGUGGGUUCGACCCCCACCCCCGGCA
rnacentral:tRNA from 4 species